UGGCGACCGGCGCACGGGUGAGUAACACGUAUCCAACCUACCCAUGACUCGGGGAUAGCCUUUCGAAAGAAAGAUUAAUACCCGAUGGUAUAUGUUUCCUGCAUGGGGAAUAUAUUAAAGAAUUUCGGUGAUGGAUGGGGAUGCGUUCCAUUAGUUUGUUGGCGGGGUAACGGCCCACCAAGACUUCGAUGGAUAGGGGUUCUGAGAGGAAGGUCCCCCACAUUGGAACUGAGACACGGUCCAAACUCCUACGGGAGGCAGCAGUGAGGAAUAUUGGUCAAUGGACGAGAGUCUGAACCAGCCAAGUAGCGUGAAGGAUGACUGCCCUUUGGGUUGUAAACUUCUUUUAUAUGGGAAUAAAGUGGGGUAUGUAUACCCUUUUGUAUGUACCAUUAUGAAUAAGCAUCGGCUAACUCCGUGCCAGCAGCCGCGGUAAUACGGAGGAUGCGAGCGUUAUCCGGAUUUAUUGGGUUUAAAGGGAGCGUAGGUGGGUGAUUAAGUCAGUUGUGAAAGUUUGGGGCUCAAUCUUAAAAUUGCAGUUGAUACUGAUUGCCUUGAGUGCGUUAAAGGUGGGCGGAAUUCGUGGUGUAGCGGUGAAAUGC
rnacentral:rRNA from 1 species